rnacentral:lncRNA from 1 species
UCGUGAGAGGAAACCAUCAGCUGGCAAGGGAACCAGAGGAUCGUCGCCGAGGAGGAAGGAAGGAUUACCGCCGCGGUAAGGAAACUUGGCCCGUCGUGCGCCGUUCGUCGCUCACCGGUGACUUGUUCUCCAUUGUGUGUCCGGGUUCAUCCCUGGGGUCCCUUGAAGCCAGCGCAAAGAUCACCCGGGCUCGUUCUCAUUCCGGGAGCAUCGAGAAUUGCUCGCUGGAGCUCACGAUCUGCCGCCGUUCCGUCUAGCUCCAUGGGCAGCCUCAACGCCGUACUCACCACUAGUAAGUAGCCUGCCAUCGCAUUCAUUUUUGUGUCCUCUCUCUCUCUAUGUCGUGUAGAUUCGAAUAAUGAGCAUUGGGCGCUUCGGUUGGGCUUCACCGGCAUUGUGCCGCCAUGGUGACCCUGUUGCCACGACGACGUCUGGUUCUGGUGUCUGGGGUUGACGUCGAACGUGGACCGUCGAUCCAGCCACGGACGGUUGUGAUUAGGCGAUAGCUUACCCCUUCGCUCGAUAGGAUUCCGGCUGUUCGAUUCAGAUCCAGUGCGGAUGAAUCAAUGGCAUUGUUUUAAAAUCUUAUCCGUCCGAUCUGGAUCCGGUGGCCUCUAUUCCGUACCGGUUCGUGAUGGCCCCUUUGUAAUCGGGGUCGUCGGUUUAUGAUCGUGCGACUACAACGCGACCGUACCACUUUGAUCGGGGAUAAUUGCUAAAGAGCCCUCGGUUUCCUUUUAAAUAAACACGCUGUUCAUUACAGGGUGAAAACUGUUACAGUGUGGUCCUAAAAUUUGCGCAGAACCCCCUGGUUUCUAAUAAAUAGUGGCCGAUGUCCGAAGGUUAAUAAAAUGGUUGAAAUUAAUAAGGAAAAUGAUUUCUAGUUUAAAAAUAAUUCUUGAAACUUGUUUAAUUCAUAUUUAAAUCGUUUUAACUCCAAAUUGAUCCAUUCCAGUUGCAUUAAAUCCAUACUAAUAUUGUUUAUCCCCUGGUAACUUUAUUUUUCUAUGAAACAUAAAUUAAAAUUAUGCACUUGAAUUCUUUUGUAUUGACUCCUAAACCUUUAUAAAAUCAUAUCUUUUAAACCGUAGCUCCGAAUUUAGUGAUUCUCGAGCCCGCGAUCUCGUUACGACGCGUAGAUUAUUAUUACGCAGUUUGUUCUUAUGUUUGGCGUGAUGUUAAUUGUGCCUAUACACUGUUUGUUUGUAUUGCUACUACUAGCGCGAGGUUACAAGUCAUAUGAAGAGCAAGUUGGUACCUGGAAUCUCAAGUCCCAGACAAGUUGUGCCCUUGAUCACUUUUAUUUACCCAAUAAUGUUCUCUAUUAAUCACUGUGAUAUGCAUAGGAUUAAUUUUGAUGGGACACAAUAGGUCACCCUAGUUUGGUUAUCUUUACACUUUGUUUACCACUGAACUUUUGGGUAGCUUUGCUAUUGCUCGACCUAGUUUUGGGAUUAAUAUUACAUUAUGUUCAUGUUCCAAUUAUAUUGUUGUUUUAAUUAUUGUUCUAUUUCUGUUCAUGAUAAGACCAUUAUGUUAAUUGGAACAUCGAGCUUAACUUGAGAAACACGUGCCACCACGAUGGUGGAAUGGGACACCCUUGGCUGACUAAUUAGGAAAGCUAGUGGAGGACUACCUUACCCGAAAGAGGCAAGGGUAGUAGGGGAGUAGGCGUGUAGGGAGGUUCCCGAGUUGAUUUUGCUGCGAUGGCGAUCAGACGGGGGAUUCCUGCAUUGAUCUUCCUAGAAACUGUAGCGGGUUUUCUGAAGCUAGUGGAACUUUGUAAAGGCCUCGUAGUGUUACCCUUUCUCGUCUCCUUGGUAGAGAUGAAUGGGACUUCUAGACCCCUUGGCAAUCGGGUGACAUGACUUGUGGGUAAAGGGUACCACCUCUGCAGAGUGUAAAACUGGUAUACUAGCCGAGCUUGCGGUCAUGAGCAGCUCAAGACUCUUGCAUGAUUAAUUUAUGGAACUAAAUUCAAUUUGUCAUAUGCAUUACAUCGCGGGUGUUGUAAUCAAUUUUGAUCUACUACUUAUAUGGUUGGUAUCUACUUAUACUUAGUAACUGCUAAUAAAAUUUUGACCAACUUUAAAAGCGAUACUCAGCUUUAACCAUCCUCUUUGGUAAGCCUUACACUUCACAUGAGCUCUCACCUUUGGCGAGUUCAUGCACAUUAUUCCCCACAACUUGUUGAACGAUGAACGUAUGUGAGCUUACCCUUGCUGUCUCACACCUCCCACAUGUCAAGAACUAGUACCGUAGGAUGAGGCGUAUGGAGGAUGCUGUGAUGAGUUCGUGAGAGGUCUAGACCAUCGUCUCUGUUGGAACUUGCUCUCAGCAGCAAGGAAGCCAACAAGGGUGAACGGUGGUGACAACAGGGUUACGUGCACGGGGGCAAUAGCUCUGUUGAUCUAGCCUCUCACGGGCACUGUGCGGGGGUAUUUAUAGGUAUCUGAGUGCCCAGCGCCUUGUGUUAAGGAAGCAUGUGCCCUCAGACACCUAGUUUAUCCCCAGAAUAUUCCCAUAAAGCAGGGUUACAAGCCGUAAUUACAAGAAUGCCUUUACAAACUAGGCCCGUAACACAAAGGCGGCCACGCGGGGCCCGUUACAAUGGGCCAGAUCACACGUGGGCCUCAGAGCAGGACGAGGCCGUGCUACGGGGAGACGUCACCGCAGGCCUUCGUCUGGUGCUGAAUGAAGCGAAGGGUGUCCCUGCCCAUUUUGUCUUCGUCAAACCAGCGACUGCAGCGAGAGACGACGAGCGAAGGGUGGCGUCUUUGCCUUCGCCCCAACAUUUGCCCUCCGAGGGACCAGUUCGACAAAGUCACCUGGUGCCGAAGACGUCGCUAGAUGGCGGAGACGCUGCCCUCGCUCGAAGUGGUUCCGCGGGGGUUUUCGAUGUGACCGUUGAUGGACGGCGUACUGUUGGAUUGCGGGUUUCCCGAAGCGCCGCGCCUUGUCGGAUUGCGGGUUUCCCGAAGAGCCGCGCCCUGCCUAUAAAAGGGGGCAGGGGUCGGUGCUUUUUUGAACUUUGCCUUCCGCGCACCGCGAAAACCCUAGCCGCCCGCCGACUUGCUGUUCGUCUGCCCGCCGUGCUCUUGAUCGCCGGAGAUCUGGCUCGCGUGAAGCAGACCGCCCGCCGCCGCCGACGGUACGUAGCAAUGCCGUCCUCUUCUUCUUCCGCCGACACCACGCCGCCGGCGGCCGCCUCGUCUGAGGAGACGUUGAGUGGCUUGGUGGUGGAGGAGUUGCGCGCCGGCGACUCUGUUGAUUUUGGUGUGUCACGGAUGACGUCAGCCCGCGUUGAAGAUAUGCAGCGGUUGGGCUACUUUGGCGGCGGAGUUGCUCGUGCUCCGGGGACGGAGGAAGUCCCCGAGCCGGAGGGUGAGUUGGUCGUUUUCGAGGCGUUCUUCGCCGCCGGUCUCCGCUUGCCUGCGCACCAGUUUGUUGGCGAAGUCCUGCGUAGAUUCAAUGUUCAAAUACAUCAGCUGACACCGAAUGCCAUGGUGGCGCUGGCGAAGUAUGUCUGGGCGACGACUUCGUACGGCGGGCAGCCGUCUGUUGAAGUUUUUGCGAAGAAUUAUUGUCUGCAUUGGCAGAAGAGGAUGGUUGGAGACGGAGUUGCCCAGUUCGGGUCAUGCACAUUCACGCCGAAGACCGGCAAGACCACAAUGCCAGUAGUGGAGUUGGUUCCGUGCGCCCGCAACAAGUGGGGCAAUUGGAAUGAAUUUUGGUUUUACGUUGCUGAGGGUACUGUCGAAGGCCAUCAGGGACUCCCCGUGUCUGAGAUGUGCUCUCAUUAUUAUUCUGCGUAUCCGCCUUUUGAAGUGGCAGAAGAGGAUGCAGACGAAGGGGCCCUCCGAUGCGCCGUCGGUCAGAGCAGCGGGCGUGAUUUAGUCGAAGAGUUCGUGGCAUACGGGGUCUGGCCCUUGGCGCACGGCUGGGCGUUGGGCGAAGUGUGCCCUCGCCAGAUGCCUUUUCACGGUGGAAGGGUGGUGCGAAGUCCUGCCUUCGCACUGAACUUGCGAAAUCGUGACCCGGCCGCCUUUGUGCGUGAUGCGGAGGACUUGGCGGUGCGGCUCGUGGGACGUUACGUGCCGAGGACUGAAGGCCAACGCAGCUUUGAUAUCCGCGGGUCAAAUGAGCGCUUGAACAGGGUCUUCGAAUUAAAUCAAUUGCCGUACGACGGCUAUCCUGGUCAAGACGAAGCGGACCGCCGUGGGAAGAAACCGGCGGUGGAGACUGGAGGCGACCCUGCGCUGGCGGCCGCCCCCUCCUCAAAAAAGAGAAAAUUAGGUACUGCGAUGGGGGGACUUGGGGUGUCUGAUAGUUUUGCUAGAGAGUUAAUGAGGACGUGUGCAGCCCCGGGGGAAAGGAUGUCUUCGCCCGAGCUCCGGGAGUCUUCGGCUCGGAUGCUGAGGGUUACCGGGGGUUGCUGGCCGAAAAAUGUUCCUAUCCCCUGCGCGGCUGAGGAGGACUGUUUUACAUCUCGUAUGGUUCAUCGGUGGAGAGUUUUUCCUUACGGGCGAAAUAUCGGUGCUGUUGUGUGGACAGUGAUGGACAAGGAUCGCCAAGGGGCGGCGCAAAAACGCCAGGCGACUGUCAGGAUUCACGAGGCUCGGCCGAAAAGGCCGCGGGGAACUGCGAAGGCCGUGGCCUCCGGCGGAGGUAAGCCGCCGCUGGCGGCGAAGGCGGGUGCCUCUGCACCUAGCAGGGCGCCGGAGGCAACGGCGGGCGCCGGAGGCUCCAAGUCGGCGAAGGUGGUGCCCCCGGCCAGCGGGAUGGCGGAGGCUUCGAAGGCGGCCCGAGCGCUGCCGCUGGCGGGCAAACGUGUUGCCGACUUCGGCACCGACAUUACUGUGGACGACUAUCUUGUUGGUAAGUCGCUGGCCUAUUAUUGGUAUUUAUGUAUAUAUAUAUGUAUAUUUUUUUUAAUUCGAAGAUGCGUUGCAGGGCCGGACGAGGGCCAGCUUGCUAUGGUUGCGCCUGGCGCGGAGAUCGCGACGGCGGCCAUAGUGCCGAAGGCGAGGGGCGAGGCCCUUGACGCCGGAGGCGAGGUGCCGGCCCUCGCCGUGGUUAGGGACGAGGCGGGCGCGGCGACCCGCCGGCUGAAGAGAGUGACGGAGGCACUGAGUCAGGCGACGGAGGCGCUGAGUCAGGUCCGUUGAGCCAUACUUUCUUCCCCACCUCUUUUGGGGCAACAGCCUUACGUGCUGUGGCGCGGCUCUGCAGGUGGCUGACUUCGCCAGCCGUACUGCGUCGGGGGCCCUCACGGCGGCUGUGUCUGCCGAAGUCGAGAGACUUCGGACACAACAUGCUGACGCUGUUCGUGAGAAGUCGGCCUCCGACAGCAAGUGCCGUAAGCUGACGGACAGGGUGGCCGCCCUGGAGAAGAAGAAGGCUGACCUCCGGCGCCAACUGGCGGCGGAGAGGAGGGAAGCUAACGAGGCUAUCGCCAAGGGGCAGGCUGCGCAGGCGGAGGCCAAGCUGGCGCGGGCGGAGGGCAAUCUUGCCAAGGAGCUCGCCGAACAUCUGCAAGAGCGGCUCACCGCCCUGGAGAGCCGCGCUAAGGAGGCCGAGACCGCAAUGCAUGCGGAGGCCGAACGGACGCACACGCAGCUUAUGGAUACAUAUCGUGAGCUGGGUGCGUGGACCGGUGACUUCGAAGUGCCGGACCGAGAGCCCGACCUUCGCUGUCUGCAGUGGGCGCAGGAGGAGCUGCUGGAACUUCCAGCCGUCGUGGGGGGGUUGAUGUCGUACGCCUCCCUGGUCACCUGCGAGGGGGCGAUGAACGCGCUCUCCCGCGAAGGGUGCCGACACUUCGAGGCCUUCGACCAGGCGGAUGAAGAUUUUGAUCGAGAUAUCUAUAAGGUCGAAGACCCCGUAGUGAAGGAAUCCGCCGGGGCCCUCUACGACCGGAUGUGGGGUCUGUACGGUCGUGAGGUGGUCAGGGAGCGGGCCGAGGCUGCGAGGGCUCAGGUAACGUCGUUUGUUUGUUGUUUGCUGUAUGCGGGCUGUGCGUGUGUUCGCUGAAUUUUUGUGUGUUGUCUUAGGCGGAGCGUGGCGAGCGGGUGGACGACUUCGGGGCACUGAACAGCGCGCUGCCUGACCCGGAGCCGACCCCUGCGGAGGCCGCGACUGGAGUCGCCCUGGAGACAACCCCGGGGCCUGCGGAAGACGCGCCGAGCGUGCCCACCUCUGCUGUGGCCGGCGAAGACCUGCCCCCAAAGGUGGCCGAAGGCGCGCCUGACGCCCCCGCAGCUGCUGCGCCGAGCACUGAAGAUUCCGCGGCGGUGGUGGCGGAAACGGCGGCGGAGGAGACAGCGGAGGCUCCCGCGGCGGCAGGGCCUUCGCAGGUGGCGUAGUGGGUGUUUAGGGUUGGGGACUUUUUGGAUGUUGUACUGAAUUUUGGUUGCUGCGCAGGUUCAAGAUUUUGGGCCUGCGCACGCAACCGCUACUACUGGGUUUUUGGCGGCUUCGACCGCGGAAGAUGGAAAUGAAUAUGGUGGGUCUGUAUCUGAGUUUUUUGAUUUUACUGAUUCUGGGAGCUCGGUUGAGUGGACUGAGGAGUCGUCGGAGGAGGACUUGGAUUAUUUUGCGGCCUUGGACGUGGCUGCGGCGGAGGCUUCGCCACACGCCGCGGACGCGCCAAACGUGCUGGGUCCUAGCACCGGGCGCCGACGACGAAGGGCGGUUGCAAAGCGUAGGGUUAGUGCGGAGGAAGGGGCUCGGCUUCGCGUGAGUAGGGGUGGUCGGCAGGAACUGUUGUCUUUGCCGGCCGCCACGAGCACAGGGGAAGGGGAACUGCGAAGUCUUUUUGCGGGUGAGGAGCUUAGGAUAAUGUUAUUUAAUUAUAGGGAGAUGGGGAUUAUUCCUAAGGUGGAGCCGAUGUAGAGUGCGGUGCCCUCGCUUGUAUAUGUGUAAAAGGUUGUAAGAUGAAGUUGUGUGCCCUCGCGUGCCUGUGCCUGCGAGGGCGCUGUGUGCUUUGUGUGGCAUGGUUGGCUAUGCUGUGCUGGUGUGAUUAUAGUCGGUCUUUAGCGCGGAUGGUUUGAUGCUGUCGCUCCUGCUUUUGUUGUACUUAGUUUGACUGCGCCCUUAGGCGGCUUCUGCGCGGAGUCUUCGCGAGAGACAUCGGAAUUUUUUCGCACUUGAUGUGUUUAGUCCGGCUGCACCCUUAGGCGACUUCUGCGCGGAUAGUCUUCGCGAUAGACAUCGGAAUUUUUCCGCACUUGUUGUGCUAGGUCCGGCUGCACCCUUAGGCGACUUCUGCGCGGAUAGUCUUCGCGAUAGACAUCGGAAUUUUUUCGCACUUGUUGUGCUAAGUCCGGCUGCACCCUUAGGCGACUUCUGCGCGGAUAGUCUUCGCGAUAGACAUCAGAAUUUUUUCGCACUUGUUGUGCUAAGUCCGGCUGCACCCUUAGGCGACUUCUGCGCGGAUAGUCUUCGCGAUAGACAUCGGAAUUUUUUCACACUUGUUGUGCUAAGUCCGGCUGCACCCUUAGGCGACUUCUGCGCGGAUAGUCUUCGCGAUAGACAUCGGAAUUUUUUCGCACUUGUUGUGCUAAGUCCGGCUGCACCCUUAGGCGACUUCUGUGCGGAUAGUCUUCGCGAUAGACAUCGGAAUUUUUUCGCACUUGUUGUGCUAAGUCCGGCUGCACCCUUAGGCGACUUCUGCGCGGAUAGUCUUCGCGAUAGACAUCGGAAUUUUUUCGCACUUGUUGUGCUAAGUCCGGCUGCACCCUUAGGCGACUUCUGCGCGAACUUAUCGCACGCGAGGGUGGCUAGCGCUUAGCCUCGCGGUGACUUCGAAUUGGUCGAAUGCCGAAGACCGUUGUCGCGGUCUUUUUUCGACACAUGCUUUUGCGGGGGAUUUUUUUUUCACAUAUAUUACAUGGCUCCGCCUCGUUAAAAACCUCACCCCCCGGGAGGAAAAGAGUGCGGGCCGGUACAAGAUUGUUUGCGGCGAAUUACAAGGGCGAAAUCAGCCCUAAAUGGGUCAAACAAAAAAUUUGCGAAGGUUGUCGAUGUUCCAGGAGUGCUCCAGGUCCUCGCCGUUUGGCGUUGUGAGCCUGUAAGCGCUGGGGGAAGCUUUUGACUUGACUAUGAAGGGGCCCUCCCACUUGGGCUCCAACUUGCCCUUGGACUCCGUCCGAGCUGUCCGGAUGAGUACGAGGUCCCCCUCGCUGAACUCCCUCGGGAUGACUGCGCGGUCGCGCCAUGCUUUGGUUUGGGCUUGAUAUUUGUUUAGGGCCUGUAGGGCGAAGACCCGGUCUCCGUCGAUGAGAUCUUUUGAAGUUGGCUCAUCCACGUCGGGGACGGCUGACGGAACUAUACGCGAGGACCCAUGCUUUAUUUCUUGCGGGGUCAUUGCCUCCGAUCCGUAUAGAAGGCGGAAAGGAGUGAACCCGGUCGCCCUGCACUCAGUUGUGUUUAGCGCCCAGACUGCCUCUGGUAAUAAAUCGGUCCAUCUGCCUUUUCUUUCAUCGAGGAGCAUCUUUUUGACAGCUGUGAAUAUUUUCCCAUUGGCGCGCUCCACGACCCCGUUGGACUGCGGAUGAUAGACUGAAGCGAAGGCAAGCUUGGUGCCGAUGGAGAAACAAAAAUCCUUGAAAUCUUGGCUGUCGAAUUGCUUGCCGUUGUCGACUGUUAGCUCGGACGGUACUCCGAAGCGGCAAACGAUGUUCUGCCAGAAGAAUUUUUGGGCAGUCUUUGAUGUGAUUGUGGAAACAGCCCUCGCUUCAAUCCAUUUGGUGAAGUAUUCGACGGCUACGAAGGCGAACUUGAGGUUCCCCUGAGCGGUGGGCAGGGGCCCGACGAUGUCCAGGCCCCAGCGCUGGAGAGGCCAUGUAUGGGCAAUCAGCUUUGUAUAUUGCGAGGGGCUGCCUGACCGGGGAGAGAACUUCUGGCAGGCUUCGCAGGACCUCGUGACCCGAUUUGCGGCGCAGAUCAUUGCGGGCCAGUAAAACCCUUGUCGGAUCACCUUGGCAGCCAGGGCCCUUGGCCCUGCGUGUGAGCCGCACGUGCCACUGUGGACUUCGCGUAUGAUCUGCAUGCCUUCGGUUUCGGUGACGCAUUUCAGCAUUGGCUGACUGACCCCUUUCUUGUAUAAUUGGCCCUCAAUCAGUGCGAAGUCCCUGCUUCGAUGUCUGAGGCGCUUUGCCUCACUGACGUCAGUUGGAUGAUAGUACCCCUGUAGGAACAGGGUUAUUGGUGCCCGCCAGUCUUUGGUCAUGAUUAGGUUGACUAUACGGUGGCCCUCACUAUCAUUAGUUAUUUGGAGCCCUUCGGGGCUCCGGACGGCGGGCGUGCCGAUGGUGUGAAAGAACACGUCGGAGGGCAAGGGCUCGCCCCUGGCGGCAGCCUUGGCCAAUGCGUCGGCCUCCUCGUUCUUGGCCCUAUCCACAUGCUGCAGGGUGAAUCCCUUGAACUGUCUCUCGAGACUUCGGAUAGCCGCGAGGUAUUGCAUGAGCGCGGGGUCCUUUGCUGCAUAAUCUUUCUCGAUCUGGCCGGCAACUAUCUUGGAGUCUGUCUUGAUGAUACAUGUGGUGACUCCGAGGGCCCUUAGCUUGCGGAGGCCGAGGAUAACCGCUUCAUACUCUGCGAUGUUGUUUGUGCAUCUGUCGGACUCCAGAGCGAAGCUGAGGCGUGCUGCAUAUCUGUGUUUGACUCCGGUUGGUGAGGUGACAAUUGCAGCGACGCCUGCCCCCGCAUGGCACCAUGCGCCGUCGCAAUGGAUGGUCCAGACCUUUUCUGUGGACGGGUCCGGCUGUGCUACUGGCCCAGUCCAGUCGACGACGAAGUCUGCCAGGACUUGCGACUUGGUGGCUGUCCUGGGCUCGAAGCUGAUGUGGUAGCCGGAGAGUUCGGCUGCCCACUUGGCAAUCCUCACCGAUGCCUCCGGGUUUCUGAAUAGUUCGCCGAGCCCCCUGUCAGAGGUGACUCGGACCUUGAAUGCUUCAAAGUAAUGGCGCAGUUUGCGCGAGGACAUGACAACUGCGUAGGCGAUCUUCUCCAGCUCUGUCAUGUUGCAUUUGGACGGUGUCAGGACUUCGGAGACAUAGUAAACAGGGCACUGUCUGACUGCGCCUUCGACUGAUUGCUCCUGCACUAGUGCCGCGCUGACCGCGUGCGGCGAAGCCGCGACAUAGAGCAAUAGGGGGAGCGAGGAGUCGGGGCUGGUGAGGAUGGCCAGCUCCGACAUGUACUGUUUGAGUGAGGCGAAGGCCGCUGCUUGCUCCGGUCCCCAGGCGAAGUCUUUCACGCCGCGGAGUGUUUUGAGGAAGGGGAGACUUCGCUCGGCGGACCUGGAGAUGAAUCUGUUGAGAGCGGCCAGUCUGCCUGUCAGACGCUGGACGUCCCUGACGGACUGCGGAGGCGACAUGUCGACGAUGGCCUGGAUCUUGGUUGGGUUGGCCUCGAUGCCGCGGUGUGACACCAAGUAACCCAAUAUCUUGCCCUGGCGAACACCGAAGACGCAUUUUUCCGGGUUCAGGCGGAGUCGUGCAUCUCGCAUGUUCGCGAAUGUCUCGGCGAGGUCGGCGAGGUGGUCCUCCUUAUUCUUGCUGGCGACGACGAUGUCGUCCACAUAUGUAAAUAUGUUUCUACCGACCUGCCCUUCGAGUACUGUUCUGGUGAGUCUGGAGAAAGUGGACCCCGCAUUCUUGAGUCCCUCCGGCAUCCUGAUGAAGCAAUAAGUGCCGAAGGGUGUUAUAAAGCUGGUGCUAGCCUUGUCUUCCUCCUUCAUGUAUAUCUGGUGAUAGCCGGAGAAGCAGUCGAGGAGUGACAUGACCUCGCAUCCGGCUGCGCUAUCGACUAUUUUGUCGAUCCGUGGCAACGGGAAAUUGUCCUUCGGGCAGGCCUUAUUGAGACUGGUGAAGUCUAUGCACAUUCGCCAUUUCCCGCUUUUUUUCUGCACCAUUACGACAUUGGAGAGCCACGUGGGGUAAGCCACUGGCUCGAUGAAUUUAGCUUCUAGGAGGCGGUGCACUUCCGCCUUGGCGGCCUCUGUCUUUUCGUCGGACAUUUUGCGGAGCCUUUGCUUUUUUGGUCGCACCGAAGGGUCAAUUCCCAAGCUGUGCUCAAUUAUGGAUCGGCUGACUCCGACCAGGUCUAGGGUGGACUAGGGGAAGACAUCUUUGUUCUUGGCCAGGCAGCAGAGAAGCUUCUCUUCUUCAUGUGACGUGAGGUCUUCGCUGAUAGUGACUGUCUGCUUGGGCGUGGCCUGAUCAAGGGGAACAGUCUUGGUUCCGUCUUGGCUCUGCAACUGUGCCUUCUCGUGCUGCUUGUCGGUUGGGCUGGCGGGCGCGGGGACCUCGCGCUGGGUCGUGAGGCAGUGUACGUUCCUCUGACCAGGCACGAAGUCCCGCUCUAUGUUGCGCGCCGUCUGCUGGUUGCCGAAGACCGUUAUAGUGCCUAGCGGACCUGGUAUCUUCAUACAUAGGUACAGUCCGUGGAUGGCAGCUUCGAACUUAUUGAUGGAGCCCCGGCCCAUGAUGGCGUUGUACGGAUAUACCAUGUCGACAAUGUCGAAGGUUACUUGCUCACUUCGGGCAUUGGGUGCUACACCGAAGGAGAGGGGGAGCUCUAUUUUGCCAACGGGAAAGGUGCCUUUGCCGCCGAAGACGUACAACGGAUUGUCCGAAGGCUUGAGCAGGCUGUGGCUUAUACCCAUGCGGUCAAAGGCGUGGAGGAAGAUGAUGUCCGCCUGACUGCCGUUAUCGACUAGGACUUUGUGUAAGUCCCAGCCUGCCACGCUGCAAUUGAUGACCAUAGCGUCGAUGUGGGGGGCGCUGCGCAGGUCGACGUCUCGUGCGUCGAAGGUUAGCGAUAUGUGGGACCACUUCGUCUGCACGACUGGGCCGGUGACCGCGACAUGGUUGAUGCUGCGGUAGUGGUCCCGCUUCUGCCGCUUGGUGUCGAAGUCAGUGCUGGACCCCCCUGUUAUCAUGUGAAUGACUCCGCGAUAUGGUUGAUCGGCGAAGUCUUCCUGCUUUGGGGCAUGGGGGAUGUUUUGGUGUUGCUGGUGUGGUGGUGGGGGUGGAGGAGGUACGAUUUGUACUUCCUGAUGGUGUUGGUAAGCGUGGUGCGGUGGAUGAGGAGCGGGAGCGUGGAUAUAUGGUGGGGGGGGGGGGUGGCUGAUAAUUAUGCGCGACAAUUCUGGGAUUGUCGGCUGGCUGCGCCCGCGCCAUUCUGUCUCUGGUGGCCUUCGUUUCGGGGCAGUCUUUGGUUUGGUGGGCGCAGUCUUCACCGUGGAAAAGGCAGUAGAACCGGCGCGGCGGCUGCGCGCGCCCUCGGCCCCUGCCACGAGUUCCGUUUCCGCGGCCUUGGGGGGGAUAUUCCUGGCGACGAGGGGGGUCAGCAGCAGGCUGCUGGUUUGCGAUGUUGUGCACUUGCUGUUGACUGCGGCCAUCUCGGCCAGAGUCUGGUUGCGGAGUCCUCGUCCAUGUGCGGCUGGACUGCGGGGCAUCUUUGGGCUUCCGCUGUGACUCAACUUUGCGUUGGUGGAGCUCCUCGGAUUUGGCAUAUUUUUCAAAGAGCUGAUAUAGCUCCUGAAGGUUCUUGGGUGGAUCUCUGAUACAGUGGCUGUAGAGGACGCCGGCCCGAAGGCCACUGAUGGCGUAGUGGAUAGCGAUCUGAUCAUCGACGGAGGGCAGCUGUGACUUGAGCGUUAAGAAUUUGCGGUAAUACUCCCGCAGAGUCUCCUUUUCCAACUGUUUGCAAAGCGAGAGCUCGGCCAAAGCGUCGGUGUCUGGGCGGUACCCUUGGAAGUUGAGGAGGAAUUUGUCCCUGAGACUUCUCCACGAAUCAAUGGACAGCGGAGGCAAUCUGGUGAACCAGGUGAGUGCUGGGCCCUCUAGGGCGAUGAUGAAAGACUUCGCCAUUGUGGCGUCGUCCCCUCCGGCGGAUGCAACGGCGACUUGAUAACUCAUUAUGUAUUGCGCCGGAUCGGUGCUGCCGUUGUACUUGGGAUAUGCCCCUGCUCGGAAGUUAGCUGGCCAAGGCGUCACUUGCAGGUGUGGCGCCAGGGGACUUCGCUCAUCGAGGUAGUUGACCCCUUGGAAUGGCGCGCCGUGCUGGAAGGCGUAGUCAUGUUGGGGGAAACGCGGGUUCUCCUGCUGCGCCCGGUGUUGCAGGGGUGGGCCAUGCUGCAGGCCGAGGUGGCCUUCGCGCGUGUCCUCCGGUUGCGCGCGCUGCUGGAGGGGUGGCUCUUGCUGUAGACCGAGGUGGCCUUCGCGCUGCAUCAGCGCGAUCUCGCGCUCGAGGUCUUGGGCCUUCUGCUUCUCGUCGCUUGAGGUCUUUGCCUUCGCCCCAACAGUCUCCCAGUCAACUUUGGGUUGUUGGAUCGUUGUCUACAUAUGAUGUAAUUAUUUAUUUAUUUUGUACAGAACUCCUAUUAUAUAGUAAAGAUGUGACAUUCGUUUCUGUACCAUGAAUCAUCAUAUGUGUGAGACUUGGUCCAGCACACUUGGUGAUUAUGUUCACACCUGGGUCCCUAAAACCCGGAUGUGACAGAAGUGGUAUCAGAGGGAUGUUGACUGUAGGACGAAACCUAGGUAGAACUGGACAACCAUUAUCUACUUACCUUUGCUACUCUAAUUCUUUCUAAACUUUUCUUAAUCUUUUCUCAUCCACUGUUGCUUUACUCUGAUUACUCUUAGCUUUUCGCUUCUAAAGACAAAAGUGGAUUUCACACUUUGAAAUCAUGUACCUAAAGUGACUUAUAGGAAUAGGAGACCUAAUCUUAGGAACAAAAACAAAACUAUUUUUGUAGGUGUCUAUGUGCUUUAAUGUUUGUUCUUAUGAUACUUGUCUGAUUUGGAUCUUUGAUUGAGUGUGAUGAGUUGUGGAGUAAUGUCCACAACUGCAUCUGCAUAUACACCUAGGCAUAAAAAUGUUUAUAAAAUAGAUAGACAACCUAUAUUAUCUCUCCAUUAGAAUACAACUAGUAUCACAUAUAUAUCUCAUCCUGAUAGAUUCUAUCUUACCUUUGGACAUUCACCUUAUACGCCUAGUUAUCCCAAUGUUAACAUAAAACAACAUAUCAAAGCCCUGCCAAAGAACCUUCAGUUCAUGCCCAGCUGCUAGCCUAUCUGGUUACCUACUAAGUAUGUCCCCUUGCAAAACUGUCUUACCAUAUGUCUCUUACCCAGAUGGUUAAUACCAGAAGGGGAGGAGGAAUCGAUCUACCUGCCAACCCCCACAACAGGAGGAUUAUCAGACAACAGCAAACAUAAAUGAAUCCUCCAAAUUCUCCACCGACUGGGACUGAUCCAGUGGUUGCCGCUCAGAUGCAGACACUACAACAAAUGGCAAACACAAUGAACGAAAUGCAAAAUCAGAUGAGGCAAGAACGCCAGAAGAUGCAUCUGGAACGAUUGGAGAUGCGUCAAGAGAUGAGACAAGAACUGUUGGAAAGACAACAAUAACCACCACUACCUCCACCACCACCAGCAGCUCCACCCAGAAAUAAGCACCGGGAGAUUAUGAGUCACAAACCAUCGACUUUCUCUAACUCCGUGGACCCACUACAAGCUGAUGACUGGUUAAAGUCUUUGGACAAGAUGCUCAACAUAGCUCAGUGCUCUGACAGAGGGAAGGUGUUAUAUGCAUCGAGUCGCCUUACCGGCCCCACUGUGGAUUGGUGGGAUGCAUACUGCGUUGUCCACGCUGCUGUCAACACCAUUAUCUAGGCAAAAUUCUCCACUCAAUUCAGGAAUUACCAUAUUCCUGCUGGACUUAUGAAGAUUAAAAGGAAGGAGUUUCUAUCCCUUAAACAAGGAGGUAUGUCCGUGAGCGGAUAUAGGGACAAAUUUAUUCAGAUAUCGUGAUAUGCUCCUAGAGAUGUUGAGGAUGAUGAGAAGAAGCAUGAGCUCUUCCUGGAAGGUUUGAUCGGACCACUACAAUACCAACUGGUAUCACAUACAUUCCCGUUCUUCCAAAGACUACUAGACAAAGCAAUUGUCGUGGAAAACAAGAUGUUUGAGUUUGGAGAAAAGAGGAGGGCCGCUAACCAGGGACAGGCUGGAAGUAGUUCCCGUCCUUGAUGUACUAGUACUCAGGGUACACCUGCUCGUGGCAACUCCGGGCAGCAAACUCAACAGACACAAACUUCCCCUCCUCAAGAAAGCACCCCAGCAAGACCUGUUGCUCCUAAUACAUCUACAAACAGGUCUGCUUCAAGUGUGGUCAGUCUGGACACUAUGCCAACUACUGUCCCAACAGGGCUGCCUACACUACUCUGGCUCUGAUGAAGCAGGGUCAGGUCUCGGGAGGCAAGAGUCAGCCCUUAUCUAUCAACCGGGGGCAGGUCAACCAUGUAGAAAGUAGAAGCUGAACCUGGUGAACCUGAAAACUAUUUGAAGGUGAAGAAGUUGGUGAAGAAGGCAAUGAACCGCAUGAUUAGAGUAAAUAAAUAAAUAUAUAUAUAUUAUUAGAAGCAGUAUUUUUUAUGAUCCAAAUAAUACUUUAAUUAGUAGCUAGUAGUUUACUAUUUUAGUAAUAAUAAGGUCUAUUUGACCAUAUGUUUUGCUAAUAAGUUAUGCAACAUGCUAAGAUUCUUGUUUGUGCAUAUGUUCUCAAACAAUAUGGGUAUACAUCCUUUUUCUUACAAAUCUCGAGGACGAGAUUUCUGUUAAGGGGGUAGGAUUUGUAACACCCUAAAGUUCAAUCUUGUGGAAAUGAGGAAAUUCUCCAAUGGUUUUAAAUCAAAACACAUUUCCUUGAGAAUAUUCAUAAUUUCAAAAUUACUACUCCCAAAAUUAAUACAAAUUUUUUAGACUAAAAUAAAAGAUACCUAGAUAAACUAAAUUAUCCUUGGAGUGAAAUUAUAAAAAUUAUGAUUAAACUAUUUCUUAAUAUAUAAUAUACAAUAUAAAUUAUAUUUCCCUAAAAAUUCAUGAGAUGUGAACCAUUCUCUAUUUCAUAAUUGGAAUCAUGUGUAAAAGAACUAAAAUAAAACAAAUAUAUAUAUAUAUAUAUAUAUAUAUAUAUAUAUAUAUAUAUAUAUAUAUAUAUAUAUAUAUAUGUAGUUUUGCAUUCAUGCUGGUGUUUUAUUUGUGCAUCUAAAAGUAAAAGUUUGGAAUUCAAACUUGAGAUUGAUUUGAAUUUAAAAUAGAAAUUGGAAAAUCAGAAAAAAAGAAGAGAAGACCUCAAUCUGUGCUACCUAGGUUGAAUCCACGUGUUGGCCCAACAGCCCUGUCCCCGCGGCCCACUUAUCCCCACCUUUUUCGUUUUUCUUCGUAUCACUGCCGAUCGGGCCCCUAUCGCGAGUGCUUCAACUGUGUUGCGCUCGCAUACCCGGUGGCUGCCAUGUGGGCCCUCUAGUCAGCCUCUACUGGACUCGCUCGCAUGUGCGCCGACAUUCUAGGCCCACUGCUCAGCCUCCCCACCUCCUCACACGGACCCACACUCACCGCUCACCGGUAUCACUGCCAUGUGGGGACAGGGGCACCAGAUUUGUCUUCCACGCCGUGAGCUUCGCAACGGAUUCGACACAACCUCCGCGCGCAUCGGCCACGGCUCGGGCAUAUAAAUCUGUGUGCUCCGACCCGCUUAUGAAAUCCAUCAUGAGAGGAAACCAUCAGCUGGCAAGGGAACCAGAGGACCGUCACCGAGGAGGAAGGAAGGAUUGCUGCCGCGGAAAGGAAACUUGGCCCGCCGUGCACCGUUCGUCGCUCACCGACGACUUAUUCUCCAUUGUGUGUCCGGUUUCAUCCCAGGGGUCCCUUGAAGCCGGCACAAAGAUCACCCGAGCUCAUUCUCAUCCCGGGAGCAUCUAAUAGCAAGCCGGAGCUCACGAUCCGCCACCGUGCCGUUUAGCUCCGUGGGCAGCCUCAACAUCGUACUCACCACUAGUAAGUAGCAUGCCAUCACAUUCGUUUUUGUGUCCUCUCUCUCUAAGUCAUGUAGAUUCGAAUAAUGAGCAUUGGGCGCCUUGGUUGAGCUUCACCGGUGUUGCACCUCCAUGGUGACCCCGUUGCCAUGGAGGCGCCGGGUUCCGGUGUCUGGGGUUAACGAUGAACGCGGACCGUCGAUCCAGCCGCGGACGGUCGUGAUUAGGCGAUAGCUUACCCCUUCGAUCGAUAGGAUUCCGGCCGUUCGAUUCAGAUCUUGUGCGGGUGAAUCAAUGGUGCUGUUUUAAAAUCGUAUCCAUUCGAUUUGGAUUCGGUGGCCUCUAUUCCGUACCGGUUCGGGAUGGCCCCUUUGUAAUCGGGGUCGUCGAUUUAUGAUCGUGCGACUACAACACGACCAUACCCCUUCGACCGGGGAUAAUUGCUAAAGAGCCCUUAGUUUCCUUUUAAAUAAUCAUGUUGUCCAUUACAGGGUGAAAACCGUUACAGUAUGGUCCUGAAAUUUGCGCAGAAACCCCUGUGUUUCUGAUAAAUAGUGGCCACAGUGAGAGCACCUAGAGGGGGGGGGGGGGUCAAUAGGUGAUCCUGUAAAAAUCAACACUAAAUGGCACAAACUUGGUUUAUGAAAUGUUAGUGGAAUCAAAACCAAGGUGUUAUGUCUAGAGAGAAAGAGAUGACUUCUUCACUUAAUUGCUCUUCACAAGGUGAGUAUUAAACUUAGAGCAAUUAUCAAGUGAGUAGAAGCAGAGAGAAUCGCACACGAAUAACAACAGAUGACACAACAAUUUUAUCUCGUGGUUCGGCCAAGUAGAACACUUGCCUACUUCCACGUUGUGGCGUUCCAAUGGACGAGUGUUGCACUCAACCCCUUUCAAGCGAUCCAAUGAUCCACUUGAAUACCACCGUUUUCUUCCUUAUAGCAGAUGUUCCCUUUGUGAGGAAUCUCCACAAGUUGGAGCCUCUCACCCUUACAAUAUUGAUCAUAAUGAAAACCACAAGAGUAAGGGAGGGAAUAGAAACACACGCAAGAGCUAGAGUCACAACAGCGACAUGCACAAAAGUCAAGAAACGAGCACACAAACACAACGCACCGAGUUCACAACUCAACAAGUGCUCAAAUCUCAAACACAAUGAUCCGGUUGCAUGCUUGCGGAGUUUAGGCGUCUUAGGAUGUUCAAUGGAGGCUUGGUGUGCUGCUUCAUGCGCCUAGGGGUCCCUUUUAUAGCCCCAAGGGGCCUAGGAGCCGUUGGAGCUUCAUUUGGAAGCUCCUAGCCUUCCUUGUUUGCUGGUGCACCGGACUGUCCGGUGCGCCACCGAACAGUGAACAGUAACAGAUCUGAUUGACAGUUUCCUUCUCUGGAAGAGCUAGCCAUUGGUGCACCGGACUUGUUACUAUUCACUAUCCUAUGCAGCGGACAUGAUACUAUUCACUGUCCUAUGCACCGGACAGGCUACUAUUCACUAGCCUGUGCAUCAGACAUGUUACUAUUCACUGUCCUGUGCACUGGACAUUUUACUAUUCACUGACAUGUGCACGGGACAGUUAUUAUUCACUGACCUGUGCACUGAACAGUUACUAUUCACUGUCAUGUGCACCAGCCAACAGCACACCAAGUACUUUUUCCUCCAUUCUUUCUCCAUUUGACUUCAUUGAGUUCCUAUCACUUAGACAAGCAUGUUUAGCACAUAAAACAAUUGACUAAGUGUCUAGAACUUACCUUUAUUCUUGAUGCAUCUAGAUAUACCUUUGCUUAACAUUUGUUAGUUCUCACCUAGUGUGUCGUGCAUCUAAUCACCAAAACAAUAUAGAAAUAGCCCAAGGGUACAUUUCUCUUUCAAUCUCCCCCUUUUUGGUGAUUUAUGCCAUCAAAUUAAAAAACAACUCGUUUCGAACUAACAUAUCUAUAAUAACUCAAAAAUACAAAUUGAAGACCAAUAAGAUUUUCAAGGAAUUUGGCAUAUUUGGAUCACUUUUGCCACCACUUGGUUUAUUUUCAAAAAACAAGUUCGUUUUCCUAUCUCUAAGUCCAACACACUUGUUUUGGCAAAUCGAGAGAUCUUUCAAGACUAAAUUUGAUCAAAUGCCAAAAACUCCCCCUUUUUCCCAUAAUCAAAAUUCUCCCCCAUAAGAGAACAAUUUUUGCAAUAAGAGGGUUUUUGAUCAAACACAAAGAUUCUAACUCUACAAUUUUUUAAAUUCACAAGUGGUUGGCUGAUCCAUUUGCUUUGGCCUUAAUUUCUCCCCCUUUGGCAUUAAGCACCAAAACAGGAGAACUUUUGGCCCUUUAACCCCAUUGCCUCACCAAAAUGUCAAAUAAGAGCAAAAGGCAAUGGGAACAUAGGUACGAACUUGGGACAAGAUAUAUUGAUACCGGAAUUCUGUGGGAGCCCUCUCUUUGUCCAAGUUCACUUUUCCCUUUCAAUAUAACUUUGAGACUAUAUCAAGAGUACUCAACAAACAAGUUAGUCUCAAGGGAGUCAAGUUGUAGCACAUCCUCCCCCUAAACAUGUGCAUCAUUUGCAUAGGGACUUGUGAGGUACGGGGAUGACUUGUACAACUUGAGCACCAAAAAUAAGCAAUUAAAGACAUUAAUGCUUAAAGUAACAUGAUUGAAAGGGAAAUAGGGUUUAACCUUUUCCUAUAAAUAAUUUUGGUGGUUGAAUGCCCAACACAAAUAAUUGGACUAACUAGUUUGCUCUAGAUUAUAUAUUCUACAGGUGCAUAAAGGUUCAACACAAACCAAUAUAAGAUUGAAGAAAGGGUUCAAAAAGAAACGAGCAAAGAUACUGAGUAUGCCCUGGUCUGGCGCAUCGGACUGUCCGGUGUGCCACCGGACAGUGUCUGGUGCACCAGGACCGUACAACGUCCAACUCUCCACUCUUGGGUUUCUCAGGACGCGCUCCGCUAUAAUUCACCGGACUGUCCGGUGUGCCACCGGACUGUCCGGUGCACCAGCGGAGCAACGACUACUUCGCGCAACGGUCGCCUGCAAAAGCUGAGAUUCAGAGGAACAGUGCGCAACAGUGCGCGGCAGAGCAGAGCCGCCCAUCAGAGGCGCACCGGACUGUCCGGUGCCACUAGAAGACAAAGCCUCCAACGGUCGAUAGCGUCCAAACCCUAACAGUUGGGUGAUGUGGCUGGCGCAUUGGACAGUGUCCCGUGGCGCACCGGACUAUCUGGUGUGCCCAUCGACAGCAGCCAUCCCCAAUGGCUAUGUGGUGGUUGAGGGCUAUAAAUACCCCCCAACCACCACCACUCCAAGCAUCCAAGUUUCUAGCACUUCACAUUCAAUACAAGAGCUAGUGCAUUCACUCCUAGACACAAUUCAAAAGAAUCAAAGCCUCUCCAAGUCCCAAAUUCACUCCAAACACCUAGUGACUAGAGAGAGUGUUUUGUUCAUGUUCUUUGCGCUCUUGUCUCUUGGAUCGCUCUCUUCUUCCUCAUUCUUGUUCUCAAGACACUUGUAAUCAAAGCAAGAGACACCAAGUGUGUGGUGGUCCUUGUGGGGUCUAAGUGACCCAUUUGAUUAAGGAGAAAGCUCACUCGGUCUAGGUGACCGUUUGAGAGAGGGAAAGGGUUGAAAGAUACCCGGUCUUUGUGACCACCUCAACGGGGACUAGGUUCUUUAGAACUGAACCUCGGUAAAACAAAUCACCGUGUCCAUCCGCUUUAUUUCUUGGUUGAUUUGUUUUCCCCUCUCUCCCGUACUUGAUAUUCGUUCUAACGCUAACCCCGGCUUGUAGUGUGUGUUUUAAGUUGUAAAUUUCAGAUUCCGCCUAUUCACCCCCCUCUAGGCAACUUUCAAUUGGUAUCAAAGCCCGGUACUUCAUUAGAGUCUAACCACUCAAAGUGAUGUCGGGAGGAUCCGCCAAGAGGGAGAUGGAAACCGGCGAGAAGGCCACAAGCCACAAGAAGGCCCCGUCAAGGGAGUCCGGCACCAAAGGAAAGGAGGAAUCCCCUCCCCGCAUCAAGUCGCAUCGGAGUGGCGACAAGAAGAAGAAGAUGAAGAAAGUGGUCUACUACGAGACCGACUCUUCGUCGCCCUCCACAUCCGGCUCCGACGCGGCGUCCAUCACUUCUAAGCGCCAUGAGCGCAAGAAGUUUAGUAAGAUCCCCCUACGCUAUCCCCGCAUUUCUAAACACACUCCUUUACUUUCCGUUCCAUUAGGCAAACCACCAUAUUUUGAUGGUGAGGAUUAUUGUAUGUGGAGUGAUAAAAUGAGGCAUCACCUAACCUCACUCCACGCAAGCAUAUGGGACAUUGUUGAGUUUGGAGCGCAGGUACCUACCGUAGGGGACGAGGGCUACGACUCGGACGAGGUCGCCCAAAUAUGACACUUUAACUCCCAAGCCACUACUAUACUCCUCGCCUCUCUAUGUCGAGAGGAGUAUAAUAAGGUGCAAGGGUUAAAGAGCGCCAAGGAGAUUUGGGAUGUCCUAAAGACCGCACACGAAGGAGAUGAGGUGACCAAGAUCACCAAGCGGGAGACGAUCGAGGGGGAGCUCGGGUGAUUUGUCCUCAACCAAGGAGAGGAGCCACAAGCGAUGUACAACCGGCUCAAGACCUUGGUCAACCAAGUGCGCAACCUCGGGAGCACCAAGUGGGAUGACCAUGAGAUGGUCAAGGUUAUUCUAAGAUCCCUCGUAUUUCGUAAUGCCACUCAAGUUCAAUUAAUACGUGGUGAUCCUAGAUACAAGCUAAUGUCUCCUGAGGAAGUGAUAGGAAAGUUUGUGAGCUUUGAACUAACGAUCAAAGGCUCCAAACACAUCGUCGACUUGGAACAAGGCGGCACCUCCACACCCGAGGUGCAACCCAUCGCAUUCAAAGCGACGAAAGAGAAGAGAGAAGAGUCUACAUCAAGUAGACUCCCCAUCGACGCCUCCAAGCUCGACAAUGAGGAGAUGGCGCUCAUCAUCAAGAGCUUUCACCAAAUCCUCAAGCAAAGGAGGGGGAAGGACUACAAACCCCACUCCAAGAGGGUGUGCUACAAGUGUGGUAAGCCCGGUCAUUUUAUCGCUAAAUUCCCAAUAUCUAGUGAUAGUGACAGGGACAACGACAAGAGGGGGAAGAAGAAGGAGAAGAAGAGGUACUACAAGAAGAAGGGUGGCGAUGCCCAUGUAUGUCGAGAAUGGGACUCCGAUGAGAGCUCCACCGACUCCUCCUCCAACGAGGAAGCCGCCAACAUCGCCAUCCACAAGGGACUCCUCUUCCCCAACGUCGGCCACAAGUGCCUUACGACAAAAGAUGGCAAAAAGAAGAAGGUAUAAUCUAGAACCACCCCCAAGUAUACUACAUCUAGUGAUGAGGGUAGUUCUAGUGAUGAUGAAGAUGAUCUGCUUACCCUUUUUGCCAACCUUAACAUGCAACAAAAAGAAAAAUUGAAUAAAUUGAUAGGAGCUAUUCAUGAGAAGGAUGAACUCCUAGAUAGCCAAGAGGAAUUCCUUAUUAAGGAAAAUAAAAAGCAUGUUAAAGUGAAAAAUGCUAAUGCUCAGGAAGUAGAGAAGAAUGAAAACUUGACUAAGGAGCUUAGCAUUUGCCAUGAUUCAAUUACCAACCUUAGAAAUGAAAAUUCUAGUUUAAUUGCUAAGAUUGAUAAAUUGAAUGAAUCUAUUUCUAGCUUUAGGACUGAAAAUGCUAGCUUAAUUUCCAAGGCUAAAGAUUUAAAUGCUUGCAAUGAUUCUAUUUCCUGUCUUAGAGAUGAAAAUGCAAUUUUAAAUGCUAAGAUAGAGGAAUUAAAAUCUUGCAAACCCUCUACAUCUAAUGUUGAACAUGUUGCUAUUUGUACUAGAUGUAGAGAUGUUAAUGUUGAAGCUAUUCAUGAUCACCUCGCUUUAAUUAAACAACAAAAUAGUCAUAUAGCUCAAUUAACUACUAAAAUCAAUGAGCAUGAAAUCAAGAAUGAAAAUUUUAAAUUUGCUAGAAGCAUGCUCUAUAGUGGGAGACACCCUGUCAUUAAGGAUGACAUUGGUUUCCAACAGGGAAGCAAUGUCAAGCUUAAUGCCCCUAAAAAUUGUCUAACUUUGUAAAGGGCAAGGCUCCCAUGGUUCAGGAUAAUGAGGGCUAUAUUUUAUAUCCUGCUGAUUAUCCCGAACACAAAAUUAGGAGAAUUCAUGCUAAGAAAACUCAUUCUGUUUCUCACCAUGCAUUUAUGUAUAAGAAUGAGGCUUCUAGCUCUAGGCAAUCAACCCAUGUUAAAUUGCCUAAAAAGAAAACUCCUACUGCAUCAAAUGAGCCUAACAUUUCAUUUAAGACUUUUGAUGCAUUUUAUGUUUUAACUAACAAAUUAGGCAAAGUAGUUGCCAAAUCUGUAGGGGACAAACACAAGGGGUCAAAGACUUGUGUUUGGGUACCCAAGGUGCUUGUUUCUAACGUGAAAGGACCCAAGACUGUUUGGGUACCUAAGAACAAGGCCUAAAACUGUUUUGCAGGUUUAUGCAUCCGGGGGCUCAAGUUGGAUUAUUGAUAGUGGAUGCACGAACCACAGGACAAGGGCGAAAAGAAUGUUCUCCUCCUAUGAGAAAAACGAAGAUCCCCAAAGAGCUAUCACAUUCGGGGAUGGAAAUCAAGGUUUGGUCAAAGGACUUUGUAAAAUUUCUAUAUCACCUGACCAUUCCAUUUCCAAUGUUUUUCUUGUAGAUUCUUUAGAUUACAAUUUGCUUUCUGUCUCUCAAUUAUGUAAAAUGGGCUACAACUGUCUUUUUACGAAUUUAGGUGUUACUGUCUUUAGAAGAAGUGAUGAUUCAAUAGCAUUUAAAAGAGUAGAGGGUCAACUAUACUUAGUUGAUUUUAACAAAGCUGAACUCGAUACUUGCUUAAUUGCUAAGACUAAUAUGGGUUGGCUCUGGCAUCGCCGACUAGCCCAUGUUGGAAUGAAGAAUCUUCACAAGCUUCUAAAGGGAGAACACAUUUUAGGACUAACAAAUGUUCAUUUUGAGAAAGACAGGGUUUGUAGCGCAUGUCAAGCAAGAAAGCAAGUUAGCACUCAUCAUCCACACAAGAACAUCAUGACGACCGACAGGCCACUUGAGCUACUCCACAUGGAUUUAUUCGGCUCGAUAGCUUACAUAAGCAUCGAUGGGAGUAAGUACUGUCUUGUUAUUGUGGAUGAUUAUUCUCGCUUCACUUGGGUAUUCUUUUUGCAGGAAAAAUCACAAACCUAAGAGACUUUGAAGGGAUUCUUGAGACAGGCUAAAAAUGAGUUCGGAUUAAGAAUAAAAAAGAUAAGAAGCAACAACGGGGCGGAGUUCAAGAACUCACAAAUAGAAGGCUUUCUUGAGGACGAGGGCAUCAAGCAUGAGUUCUCUUCUCCCUACACACCUCAACAAAAUGGUGUAGUGGAGAGGAAGAAUAGAACUCUACUGGACAUGGCGAGGACCAUGCUUGAUGAGUACAAGACUCCGGACUGGUUUUGGGCUGAGGCGAUUAACACCGCCUGCUACUCCAUCAACCAGCUCAACCUUCACCGAAUCCUCAAGAAGACAUCUUAUGAACUCCUCACCGGUAAAAAGCCCAAUGUUUCAUAUUUUAGAGUCUUUGGUAGAAAAUGCUUUAUUCUUAUUAAAAGAGGUAGAAAAUCUAAAUUUGCUCCUAAGGCUGUAGAAGGUUUUUUACUUGGUUAUGACUCAAACACAAGGGCAUGUAGAGUCUUCAACAAAUCCAUUGGAUUAGUUGAAGUUUCUUGUGACAUUGUGUUUGAUGAGACUAAUGGCUCCCAAGUGGAGCAAGUUGAUCUUGAUGAGCUAGAUGAUGAAGAGUUUCCGUGCGUCGCGCUAAGGAACAUGUCCAUUGGGGAUGUGUGUCCUAAAGAAUCCGAAGAGCCCACUCAUGCACAAGAUCAACCAACAUCUUCCAAUCAAGCAUCCCCUCCAACUCAAGAUGAGGAUCAGGCUCAAGACAAUGAAGAUGAAGAUCAAGAGGAUGAGCCACCUCAAGAGGAGGACAAUCAUCAAGGGGGAGAUGAAGUUGAUCAAGACAAGGAAGAUGAUCAAGAGAUUCAGGGUCAAAGACCGCCACACCCAAGAGUCCACUAAGCAAUUCAAAGAGAUCACCCCGUCAACUCCAUCCUCGGUGACAUUCAUACGGGGGUAACCACUAGAUCUCGAGUUGCUCAUUUUUGUGAACAUUACUCUUUUGUCUCCUCUAUUGAGCCAUACAGGGUAGAGGAUGCACUAAGAGAUUCAGAUUAGGUGUUGGCUAUGCAAGAGGAGCUCAACAACUUCACGAGGAAUAAGGUAUGACAUUUAGUUUCACGUCCUAACCAAAAUGUUGUAGGAAACAAGUGGGUAUUCCGCAACAAGCAAGAUGAGCAUGGUGUGGUGACAAGGAACAAAGCCCGGCUUGUGGCCAAGGGUUAUUCACAAGUCGAAGGUUUGGAUUUUGGUGAAACUUAUGCACCCGUAGCUAGGCUUGAGUCAAUUCGUAUAUUACUUGCCUAUGCUACUUACCAUGGCUUUAAGCUUUAUCAAAUGGACGUGAAAAGUGCCUUCCUCAAUGGAUCAAUCAAGAAAGAGGUCUAUGUUGAGCAACCUCCCUACUUUGAAGAUAGUGAGUACCCUAACCAUGUUUAUAAACUCUCAAAGGCGCUUUAUGGGCUCAAGCAAGCCCCAAGAGCAUGGUAUGAAUGCCUGCAAGAUUUUCUUAUCACUAAUGGCUUCAAAGUCGGUAAAGCCGAUCCUACACUUUUUACUAAAACUAUUGCAAAAGAUUUGUUUGUAUGCCAAAUUUAUGUUGAUGAUAUCAUAUUUGGGUCUACUAACAAAUCUACUUGUGAGGAGUUUAGUAGGAUCAUGAUUCAGAAAUUCGAGAUGUCUAUGAUGGGGGAGUUGAAGUAUUUUCUAGGAUUUCAAGUCAAGCAACUUCAAGAGGGCACCUUCAUCAGCUAAACAAAGUACAUUCAAGACAUACUUACCAAGUUUAGAAUGAAGGAUGCCAAACCCAUCCAGACACCCAUGGGAACAAAUGGGCAUCUCGACCUCGACACGGGAGGUAAAUCUGUAGAUCAAAAGGUAUACCGGUCAAUAAUAGGAUCUUUACUCUAUUUAUGUGCAUCUCGACCAGAUAUUAUGCUUUCCGUAUGCAUGUGUGCAAGGUUCCAAGCCGAUCCUAAGGAAGUUCACCUUAGGGCCGUGAAAAGAAUCAUGAGAUAUUUAGUUUAUACCCUUAAGUUUGGACUUUGGUACCCCAAGGGAUCCACUUUUGAUUUAAUAGGAUAUUCAGAUGCUGAUUGGGCAGGGUGUAAAAUUGAUAAGAAGAGCACAUCAAGGACUUGUCAGUUUCUGGGGAGAUCCCUGGUGUCUUGGGCUUCAAAGAAACAAAACUCAGUAGCUCUUUCUACCGCCGAAGCAGAGGACAUUGCCGUAGGCCAUUGUUGCGCACAAUUACUUUGGAUGAGGAAAACCCUCAGGGACUAUGACUACAAAUUGAGUCACUGUUUUGACACUGUUUUGACAUGAAAGAUAUAUUAAAAUUUAUCUAGUACUUAAUCAUGUAUUAAAUACAUAAAACCUUUGGAAAUUCAUAACUUAAAAUCUAUAACUCCAAAUUUAGUGAUUCCAGUUCCUAUGAUCUUAUUUUAAUGUCUAGAUUAUUAUUGUGUAUUUUAUUUACAUGUUUGGUGUGAUGUUAAUUUUUGCUAUACUAUGUAUGUAUUGUGUUGAUGCGAGUAGACGGGCAAGCUACUGAGGAUCCUGAGAUUCAGCUCGUAGAGAGUGCUCAGCAGGAGCUCGUUGAAGG